GGGCCCGUAGCUCAGCUGGGAGAGCGCCACACUCGCAUUGUGGAGGCCACCGGUUCGAUCCCGGUCGGGUCCACCA
rnacentral:tRNA from 1 species